CUAACCAGGAUAGCUCAGGUUCCUGAAAUGAAGUGAUGUUUUGUUUCUUCACAACGUUCCCCUUCUCCAGGAGGUGGGGCACAUUCUUUGUGCUGAACAAAGCAGAUGACAACACAGUUGUCCUUGACUGCCAUCCUGUCUUGUCCAGGCCACCGUGUCCCUUCAGUUUCAUUCUCCACCCCACAUGAGCACUCCAGAGCGUUUUGCAUGCAGUGCCAACGAUGACCAGCAGGUGGCGCCAUGAGGGCUCAAGCAGGCCGGCAACUAGAAGCGAAAGCCAGAAAACAGAAACCCAACAACACAAAGAUUGAUAGGAAUACAUUUCCUCGUCUCUUCCGCAUGUUGUAUUAUGCAGUAGAGAUGUCAAGCUGACAGGAUUCUGUUAUAUCUUCUGUCUGACGAAGAACAUGCCUUAGCACGCCUAUUAAUUGAGAUGCUAACUUAUAAAGAAAAAGGCUGACUGGAGAAACCAUGAAAGAGUCAGCGCUGAGGAAAGCAUUUCUUCU